AACGAACGCUGGCGGCAGGCUUAACACAUGCAAGUCGAGCGAGACCUUCGGGUCUAGCGGCGGACGGGUGAGUAACGCGUGGGAACGUGCCCUUCUCUACGGAAUAGCCCCGGGAAACUGGUAGUAAUACCGUAUACGCCCUUUGGGGGAAAGAUUUAUCGGAGAAGGAUCGUCCCCCGUUGGAUUAGGUAGUUGGUGGGGUAAGGGCCCACCAAGCCGACGAUCCAUAGCUGGUUUGAGAGGAUGAUCAGCCACACUGGGACUGAGACACGGCCCAGACUCCUACGGGAGGCAGCAGUGGGGAAUCUUAGACAAUGGGGGCAACCCUGAUCUAGCCAUGCCGCGUGAGUGAUGAAGGCCUUAGGGUUGUAAAGCUCUUUCAGCUGGGAAGAUAAUGACGGUACCAGCAGAAGAAGCCCCGGCUAACUCCGUG
rnacentral:rRNA from 1 species